GGAUGCCAGCUAACGGCUGGGUGCUAUAAGUCGCAAGACCCAAGGCAACGGAAAGUGCAACAGAGAAUAGACCGCCGAUGGCGUCGCAAGACGCACAGGUAAGGGUGAAACGGCGAGGUAAGAGCUCACCGCGUCCACGGUAACGGCGGACGGCACGGCAAACCCCAUCCGGAGCAAGACCAAAUAGGGAAGCUGAGGCGUGGCCCGCGCUGCUUCCGGGUAGGUUGCUUGAGCCUGUCGGUAACGGCAGGCCUAGAGGAAUGAUUGCCGAACCCCGCAAGGGGGGAACAGAACCCGGCUUAUCGGCCGGCUUUCCAA
rnacentral:RNase_P_RNA from 1 species